CAGUCGCCACGGUAAUACGAAGGUCCCGAGCGUUGUUCGGAAUCACUGGGCGUAAAGGGAGCGUAGGCGGCGUGGUAAGUCAGAUGUGAAAUCCCGGGGCUCAACCCCGGAACUGCAUCCGAUACUGCCGUGCUAGAGGAUUGGAGAGGUAGCUGGAAUUCUUGGUGUAGCAGUGGAAUGCGUGGAGAUCAAGAGGAACACUCGUGGCGAAAGCGAGCUACUGGACAAUAUCUGACGCUGAGGCUCGAAGGCCAGGGUAGCGAAAGGGAUUAGAUACCCGCGUAGUCCCUGUCUCUUAUAC
rnacentral:rRNA from 1 species